GGGCUCACACAAGCGGUGGAGGAUGUGGCUUAAUUCGAGGCUACGCGAAGAACCUUAUCCUAGUCUUGACAUGUAUGGAUUAACCCUGUGAAAGCAGGGCCACGCCUUCGGGUGGAACAUACACAGGUGCUGCAUGGUUGUCGUCAGCUCGUGCCGUGAGGUGUCAGGUUAAGUCCUAUAACGAGCGCAACCCCUACCGUUAGUUGCCAGCGAGUCAUGUCGGGGACUCUAGCGGAACUGCCGGCGUAAGCCGCGAGGAAGGUGGGGAUGACGUCAAAUCAUCACGGCCCUUACGUCCUGGGCUACACACGUGCUACAAUGGUACGGACAAUGAGCAGCCACAUGGUGACAUGGAGCUAAUCUUCAAACCGUAUCUCAGUUCGGAUCGAAGUCUGCAACUCGACUUCGUGAAGCUGGAAUCGCUAGUAAUCGG
rnacentral:rRNA from 1 species